UGAACCUCUGUUUUUAAUCUUUCAAGAUUCUUUUCUUUCAGGAAGUGUUCCGGAGGAUUGGAGGAAGGCAGAUGUGGUUCCUAUAUUCAAAAAGGUUUCAAAAUCCUUGCCUGGAAAUUAUAGACCUGUGAGCUUAACUUCUGUGGCUGGUAAAAUAUUUGAAAGGUUAUUAAGGGAUAAUAUUCAAGAAUUCCUUGAGAAGAACAUGGUUAUCAGCAAAAAUCAGCAUGGUUUUAUG